rnacentral:sRNA from 1 species
CCGGACACGCCUCUCAAUGAAGCGCAACCCGUCCGGU